rnacentral:rRNA from 1 species
AUUGAACGCUGGCGGCAGGCCUAACACAUGCAAGUCGAACGAGUGGCGGACGGGUGAGAAAUGUCUGGGAAACUGCCUGAUGGAGGGGGAUAACUACUGGAACCGGUAGCUAAAACCGAAUUCCAUCGGAUGUGGCAAUAUGGGAGUAGCUAGUAGGGGGGGUAAAGGCUCGCCUAGGCGACGAUCCCUAGCUGGUCUGAGAGGAUGACCAGCCACACUGGAACUGCGACACGGUCCAGACUCCUACGGUAGGCAGCAGUGGGGAAUAUUGCACAAUGGGCGCAAGCCUGAUGCAGCCAUGCCGCGUGUAUGAAGAAGGCCUUCGGGUUGUAAAGUACUUUCAGCGGGGAGGCGUUACCCGCAGAAGAAGCACCGGCUAACUCCGUGCCAGCAGCCGCGGUAAUAC